AUCCUUUCGUAGUUCACAAGCAUGUUUGGGUGUUCACGUGCACGUGUAAUAUGUGCCUCUCUUAAACUUUGUUAUUGCCGGGCGCGGUGGCUCACGCCUGUAAUC